rnacentral:sRNA from 12 species
GCUUUCAACAUCCCCGUCUCAGAGGCGCAGGACGGCAUAGGCGUUGGCCGAUGCUUAACGACCUCGAGAGACUGAAGGC